UACAGAGGGUGCAAGCGUUGUUCGGAAUUAUUGGGCGUAAAGGGAGUGUAGGCGGUUGGGAAAGUCUUCUGUGAAAUCUAAGGGCUCAGCCUGUAACGUGCAGAGGAAACUACUCGGCUUGAGUGUCGGAGAGGAUAGGGGAAUACCCGGUGUAGAGGUGAAAUUCGUAGAUAUCAGGAGGAACACCGGAGGCGAAGGCGGCCAUCUGGCGAGACACUGACGCUAAGGCGCGAAAGCGUGGGUAGCAAACAGG
rnacentral:rRNA from 1 species